UACGUAGGGGGCUAGCGUUGUCCGGAUUUAUUGGGCGUAAAGAGCGUGUAGGCGGCCAGGUAGGUCUGGUGUGAAAACUCGAGGCUUAACCUCGAGAUGUCAUCGGAAACCAUCUGGCUAGAGUCCGGAAGAGGAGAGUGGAAUUCCUGGUGUAGCGGUGAAAUGCGCAGAUAUCAGGAGGAACACCUAUUGCGAAGGCAGCUCGCUGGGACGUAACUGACGCUGAGACGCGAAAGCGUGGGGAGCAAACAGG
rnacentral:rRNA from 1 species